AGCAAUCAGUCAAUGGCCGGCGCGCGCAUUGUUUACAUAUCCGUCAGAUUGACACUUUAUAAUUAAAUUAUGCCGUCUUGUGCCGUUCCAACAUGUAAGAAUGCUACUGGAAUUACGAAGAAAGUGCAUGGGAUCAUGUUUUAUCCGAUACACAGCCAGAGUUGCCUCGCAAUCAAAUUUAAGUAUUGGUGAUGUUUUUGAUUUGGAUUCUGUUUUUCACUCCAAGAAAAGUUAAACUAAAAGCACUACUGCGCCGUAAACAAAUGUUUUGUUGUCGAUAUGUUUACAUAAUAAAGAACCUUAAGUUUC